GAGAACUUUUGUGACUUAGUGGCGGACGGGUGAGUAACGCGUGGGUAACCUGCCUCACACAGGGGGAUAACAGUUGGAAACGACCGCUAAUACCGCAUAACCCGCUGGUGCCGCAUGGCACUGACGGAAAAGAUUUAUCGGUGUGAGAUGGACCCGCGUCUGAUUAGCCAGUUGGCAGGGUAACGGCCUACCAAAGCGACGAUCAGUAGCCGGCCUGAGAGGGUGAACGGCCACAUUGGGACUGAGACACGGCCCAAACUCCUACGGGAGGCAGCAGUGGGGAAUAUUGCACAAUGGGGGAAACCCUGAUGCAGCGACGCCGCGUGAGUGAAGAAGUAUUUCGGUAUGUAAAGCUCUAUCAGCAGGGAAGAAAAUGACGGUACCUGACCAAGAAGCCCCGGCUAACUACGUGCCAGCAGCCGCGGUAAUACGUAGGGGGCAAGCGUUAUCCGGAUUUACUGGGUGUAAAGGGAGCGUAGACGGUGAUGCAAGUCAGAAGUGAAAGCCCGGGGCUCAACUCCGGGACUGCUUUUGAAACUGUGUAACUGGAGUGCAGGAGAGGUAAGCGGAAUUCCUGGUGUAGCGGUGAAAUGCGUAGAUAUCAGGAGGAACACCAGUGGCGAAGGCGGCUUACUGGACUGUAACUGACGUUGAGGCUCGAAAGCGCGGGGAGCAAACAGGAUUAGAUACCCUGGUAGUCCACGCCGUAAACGAUGAAUAUUAGGUGUCGGGGAGCAAAGCUCUUCGGUGCCGCAGCAAACGCAGUAAAUAUUCCACCUGGGGAGUACG
rnacentral:rRNA from 1 species